rnacentral:rRNA from 1 species
UGGGGAAUAUUGCACAAUGGGCGCAAGCCUGAUGCAGCCAUGCCGCGUGUAUGAAGAAGGCCUUCGGGUUGUAAAGUACUUUCAGCGGGGAGGAAGGUGUUGUGGUUAAUAACCACAGCAAUUGACGUUACCCGCAGAAGAAGCACCGGCUAACUCCGUGCCUGCAGCCGCGGUAAUACGGAGGGUGCAAGCGUUAAUCGGAAUUACUGGGCGUAAAGCGCACGCAGGCGGUCUGUCAAGUCGGAUGUGAAAUCCCCGGGCUCAACCUGGGAACUGCAUUCGAAACUGGCAGGCUAGAGUCUUGUAGAGGGGGGUAGAAUUCCAGGUGUAGCGGUGAAAUGCGUAGAGAUCUGGAGGAAUACCGGUGGCGAAGGCGGCCCCCUGGACAAAGACUGACGCUCAGGUGCGAAAGCGUGGGGAGCAAACA